UAAUACAGAGGGGGCAAGCGUUAUUCGGAAUUAUUGGGCGUAAAGGGCGCGUAGGCGGCUUGGCAAGUGGAAGGUGAAAUCCCUCGGCUUAACCGAGGAACUGCCCUCCAGACUGCUUUGCUUGAGGCCGGGAGAGGUGAGUGGAAUUCCCAGUGUAGCGGUGAAAUGCGUAGAUAUUGGGAGGAACACCAGUGGCGAAGGCGGCUCACUGGACCGGUUCUGACGCUGAGGCGCGAAAGCGUGGGGAGCAAACGGGAUUAGAUACCCCGGUAGUCCACGCCGUAAACGAUGAGUGCUUGGUGUAGCGGGUAUCGACCCCUGCUGUGCCGAAGUCAACACAUUAAGCACUCCGCCUGGGGAGUACGGUCGCAAGGCU
rnacentral:rRNA from 1 species